GGGUGCGAUCAUACCAGCACUAAUGCACCGGAUCCCAUCAGAAUUCCUCAGUUAAGCGUGCUUGGGCGAGAGUAGUACUAGGAUGGCUGACCUCCUGGGAAGUCCUCGUUUUGCACCCC
rfam:Corchorus capsularis cultivar CVL-1 contig15105, whole genome shotgun sequence.